rnacentral:rRNA from 1 species
AGUGAACGCUGGCGGCGUGCCUAAUACAUGCAAGUCGAACGAAGUGGCGCACGGGCGAGUAAUAUAUAGUUAAUCUGCCCUACACAGAGGGACAACAGUUGGAAACGACUGCUAAUACCUCAUAGUGUAGGAUGAGACUAUAUCGUAUCAGCUAGUUGGUAAGGUAAUGGCUUACCAAGGCUAUGACGCGUAACUGGUCUGAGAGGAUGAUCAGUCGAAUUGGAACUGAGACACGGUCCAGACACAUACGGGAAGGGGCAGUAAGGAAUAUUACGCAAUGGGGGAGAACCUGACGCAGCAACGCCGCGUGGAGGAUGACAAUUUUCGGAGAGUAAACUCCAUUUAUCAGGAAAGCGGUACCUGAUGAAUAAGCACCGGCUAACUCCGUGCCAGCAGCCGCGGUAAUAC